ensembl:lncRNA
CUAAAUUCUAAAUCAAAAUACAUAUCUGAUAUGACUUAAUAUAUAAUUAGCAUAAAACAAACAAUAUAAUUCACAUUCUCAAGGAUUAAAGAUUAAAUGGAAAAAAAAUAAAAAUGAUUGCACAGCCAUCAGUUAGGUGGCGAUAUGUACUAAGCAUGUAAACAACUAAUGAACAAAAGAAGAAGAAAGAAACAGCUUGGCGCGCUUUUUCUUUGCUUCCGUUUCUUUAGUGACUCAUCCGAUUCAUCGCUCUGUUGAGAAUGUCUCGUUUAGUUCACGGGACAUUAUUGUUUGCUGGUACUGGAAUCUGCCUGUUUGACCACUCUCUAUAAUAAAGCCUGCAUUUGGAUCCUCAACUCUAUUGUCACGAUCCCUCCAUCGUAACAGAAUAAUCAGCCGAACAAGGAUCCAGCGGCUUUCCUGAACGACACUGGGCAGGUGUUGCGGAGGUGGAACGCGACACUGCACUCACUCAUGGUAUGGCCGCCAGCCCAGCGCCUCUGCACAAGAUGGCCGCCAGCCCAGCGCCUCUGCACAAGAUGGCCACCAAUGCGGCGUUGCUGCACGAAAUGGCAGCCACCGUUGAGCUGCAAGGUCAAGUCACUACAGAGCUUCAUCAUACCACAACUGAUCUGCCUGAGCCUCGUCACGUCUCAGCUGAUCAUCCAGUGCCUUGCCUCAUCCUGUCUGUUGCACCCAGAUAUUUAAGGUCACCGUAGCCACCAGAUCCAGUCUGUAUCCAGAUCACAUGGUGGAUCAGCACCUAGACAAACUCUUGACAGCCCUGGAUGUCAGCGGAGACCAGGACAACUAUGAGCCCCAGAGACAGAUCCUCUUCACCAAGACAGCCAUCGGGACAAGACCACAGGAACCAGACCAGUCCUCUGCACAAUCUGAUCUGUGUUGAAGCCUGCAAUUAAACUGCUGGGUUCGUCUGUUCAGAGAAGAACGAUGGAGUUUUGGUUCCUUCGACACACAAUUUUUCUGUUUAAUACUGUAAAGCUGUAGUGUAAAUACAGUGACUGGACUUGACUCCAGUUGAAAUGUAACACCUGGUUCAUUUAUUUUUUUCUGCCUUCUGCCUCAUUUUAAAGAUGUAAUUGUGAACAGUAUUAAUAUUUUUUUAAAUAUUUGUUUGCAAACAUUUUUUUAAAGUGUAUUAGUCUUUUUUUAAGUUAAUUAAACAAAUGUUUAAAAUAAAAUUUUUCAGUUGUAUUGCAAAUGUAAUGUUUGACAACUGGAGCACUUUUUAAAGGCUAGUUGACCAGAAAAUUGAAAGUUGCUGUUAUUUUAUUGAUCCUCAGGCCAUCCCAGAUGUCAGUGACUUUUUUUCUUCAGUAGAACAGUAAAGAUUUUUAUCUGAAACAGUGAUCCUUGGUGAUUCAUACAGUGCAUGUCUGUGGCUGCCGGUUUUUGAUGGUUUAGCUUCAUAAGGCCUCACUGUGUCCUCAGAAGUCUUUGGUAAUUUGGUCUUGUCUGUAUAUGUUUGUUUGACUCUCAAAAGCCGGCAGCCGGAGACGUGCAGUUAAUGAAUUGCAAUGUUUUCAAAGACAAUGUUUUCACCUAAAAAUUUCCUUUACUGUUCAAUUGAAGAAAAAUGUUAACUACGUCUUGGAUGGCUUGAGGCUGAGUCAAUUAACAGCAAUUUUUAAUUUUGGGGUGAACUAUCCC